rnacentral:rRNA from 1 species
UACGGGGGGGAGCAAGCGUUUGUUCGGAUUUACUGGGCGUAAAGGGCGCGUAGGCGGUCGUGACAAGUCACUUGUGAAAUCUCCGGGCUUAACUCGGAACGGUCAAGUGAUACUGUCGGACUAGAGUACAGAAGGGGCAACUGGAAUUCUCGGUGUAGCGGUGAAAUGCGUAGAUAUCAGGAGGAACACCGGUGGCGAAGGCGGGUCUCUGGGCCGAUACUGACGCUGAGGAGCGAAAGCGUGGGGAGCGAACAGG